rnacentral:rRNA from 1 species
GAUGAACGCUGGCGGCGUGCCUAAUACAUGCAAGUCGAGCGGCAGCACGGUCUUCGGACUGGUGGCGAGCGGCGGACGGCAGAGUAACGCGUAGGAACAUGCCCCAAAGUGAGGAAUGACUGCCCGAAAGGGUGGUUAAUGCCGCCUAUGCUCUUCGGAGUACAGCUUUAUGCGCCUUGGGAGUGGCCUGCGUCCGAUUAGCUAGUUUGUGAGGUAAUAGCUCACCAAGGUAACGAUCGGUAGCUGGUCUGAGAGGAUGAUCAGCCUGACUGGAACUGAGAACGGUCCAGACUCCUACGGGAGGCAGCAGUAGGGAAUCUUCCGCAAUGGACGAAAGUCUGACGGAGCAACGCCGCGUGAGUGAAGAAGGUUUUCGGAUCGUAAAACUCUGUUGUCAGGGAAGAACAAGUACCAUAGUAACUGAUGGUACCUUGACGGUACCUGACCAGAAAGCCACGGCUAACUACGUGCCAGCAGCCGCCGCAG